CGGGCGUGGUGUUGAGGG
rnacentral:miRNA from 1 species